rnacentral:tRNA from 1 species
GGUGCGGUACCCAAGUAGCUAAGGGGACGGUCUGCAAAACCGUUAUUCGUGGGUGCAAUUCCCACCCGCACCUCCA